GAGCGCACUCUUCGGAGUGAGCGGCGGACGGGUUAGUAACGCGUGGGAACGUACCCAGAUCUAAGGAAUAGCCACUGGAAACGGUGAGUAAUACCUUAUACGCCCUUCGGGGGAAAGAUUUAUCGGAUUUGGAUCGGCCCGCGUUAGAUUAGAUAGUUGGUGGGGUAACGGCCUACCAAGUCUACGAUCUAUAGCUGGUUUUAGAGGAUGAUCAGCAACACUGGGACUGAGACACGGCCCAGACUCCUACGGGAGGCAGCAGUGGGGAAUCUUGGACAAUGGGCGCAAGCCUGAUCCAGCCAUGCCGCGUGAGUGAUGAAGGCCUUAGGGUCGUAAAGCUCUUUCGCCAGGGAUGAUAAUGACAGUACCUGGUAAAGAAACCCCGGCUAACUCCGUGCCAGCAGCCGCGGUAAUACGGAGGGGGUUAGCGUUGUUCGGAAUUACUGGGCGUAAAGCGCGCGUAGGCGGGUUGUUAAGUUAGAGGUGAAAUCCCGGGGCUCAACCCCGGAACUGCCUUUAAUACUGGCAACCUAGAGUUCGAGAGAGGUGAGUGGAAUUCCGAGUGUAGAGGUGAAAUUCGUAGAUAUUCGGAGGAACACCAGUGGUGAAGGCGGCUCACUGGCUCGAUACUGACGCUGAGGUGCGAAAGUGUGGGGAGCAAACAGGAUUAGAUACCCUGGUAGUCCACACCGUAAACGAUGAAUGCCAGUCGUCGGGUAGCAUGCUAUUCGGUGACACACCUAACGGAUUA
rnacentral:rRNA from 1 species